rnacentral:rRNA from 1 species
GAUCCUGGCUCAGGAUGAACGCUGGCGGCGUGCUUAACACAUGCAAGUCGAACGAAGCAGUUAUACGAUCCCUCGGGGUGACGAUUACUGACUGAGUGGCGGACGGGUGAGUAACGCGUGGGUAACCUGCCUUGUACAGGGGGACAACAGUUGGAAACGACUGCUAAUACCGCAUAAGCGCACAGCUUCGCAUGAAGCAGUGUGAAAAGUUUUUCGGUACAAGAUGGACCCGCGUCUGAUUAGCUAGUUGGUGAGGUAACGGCCCACCAAGGCGACGAUCAGUAGCCGACCUGAGAGGGUGACCGGCCACAUUGGGACUGAGACACGGCCCAAACUCCUACGGGAGGCAGCAGUGGGGAAUAUUGCACAAUGGGCGAAAGCCUGAUGCAGCGACGCCCGCGUGAGCGAAGAAGUAUUUCGGUAUGUAAAGCUCUAUCAGCAGGGAAGAUAAUGACGGUACCUGACUAAGAAGCACCGGCUAAAUACGUGCCAGCAGCUGC